rnacentral:rRNA from 1 species
AUUGAACGCUGGCGGCAGGCCUAACACAUGCAAGUCGAGCGGAGCGGCGGACGGGUGAGUAAUGCCUAGGAAUCUGCCUGGUAGUGGGGGAAAACGUCCGGAAACGGGCGCUAAUACCGCAUACUAUCAGAUGAGCCUAGGUCGGAUGAGCUAGUUGGUGGGUUAAAGGCCUACCAAGUCGACGAUCCGUAACUGGUCUGAGAGGCUGAUCAGUCACACUGGAACUGAGACACGGUCAAGACUCCGACGGGAGGGAGCCGUGGGGAAUAUUGGGUAAUGGGCGAAAGCCUGGUCCAGCCAUGCCGCGUGUGUGAAGAAGGUCGUCGGAUUGUAAAGCUCUUUAAGUUGGGAGGCGUUACCAACAGAAUAAGCACCGGCUAACUUCGUGCCAGCAGCCGCGGUAAUAC